rnacentral:lncRNA from 1 species
CCUUAUCCCCCAUCAAAAACGUAAGUUUUGCAUGAUAUCCACAACUCCUCAAAUCUAAAAACCCUAACUUACGCAUAUUAUAUCUGCUCUACAUUCCUUUCGCUACUGUUGAUGUGAGAAUCAAGCUUUGGAAUCCCUCAAGUAAUUCGGCUCGGGCCCUUAACCAUUCACAUCGCACAUACAACUCGGUAAUGAUCUACAGGUACAGCUACGGACGGACAUUGCAAGCGGAUGGAGUGUGUGUGGUUUGGAAAGUGAAUGACCCUUGACUUACAAGUGGCGGAGGCAGAGGUCGAGUUAGGGACAGAGGCAGAGUAAAUGCAGAACGAGGUCCUGGUGUGACUGACCGGAAUCGAAUCUUCUACAUCAAAGCAGGGACCCAACCAACAGCCACUCAUAUUCCACCAAAGAGUGAUAGUGUAGUCGUUCCAAGCACCGGUGGCAGAGACCUCAAUCAGAAUGCUGGUCUUUGAUGAGAGUACACAUAAGUAUAAUAUUUUAAUACUUUGUUUAAAAAAUAAAAUUAAAUAAUUGAA